rnacentral:tRNA from 1 species
UUCGCCGUGGAAGGGCUGACGGAAUCGCUCGCCUGUUACGUGACCCCGGCCUUCGGCGUCCGGUUCACCGCGGUGGAGCC